GUGAAUAACACCGAAACGACUCUCGGCAACGGAUAUCUCGGCUCUCGCAUCGAUGAAGAACGCAUCCCGCGAACCAUCGAGUCUUUGAACGCAAGUUGCGCCCGAGGCCCCACGGCCGAGGGCACGCCUGCCUGGGCGUCACGCCUCGCGUCGCUCCGCGCGCCCCCCCCGGCGCCGGACGC
rnacentral:rRNA from 1 species